GAUGAACGCUGGCGGCGUGCCUAAUACAUGCAAGUCGAGCGAACAGACGAGGAGCUUGCUCCUCUGACGUUAGCGGCGGACGGGUGAGUAACACGUGGAUAACCUACCUAUAAGACUGGGAUAACUUCGGGAAACCGGAGCUAAUACCGGAUAAUAUAUUGAACCGCAUGGUUCAAUAGUGAAAGACGGUUUUGCUGUCACUUAUAGAUGGAUCCGCGCCGCAUUAGCUAGUUGGGAAGGUAACGGCUUACCAAGGCAACGAUGCGUAGCCGACCUGAGAGGGUGAUCGGCCCCACUGGAACUGAGACCCGGUCCAGACUCCUACGGGAGGCAGCAGUAGGGAAUCUUCCGCAAUGGGCGAAAGCCUGACGGAGCAACGCCGCGUGAGUGAUGAAGGUCUUCGGAUCGUAAAACUCUGUUAUUGGGGAAGAACAAAUGUGUAAGUAACUAUGCACGUCUUGACGGUACCUACUCAGAAAGCCACGGCUAACUACGUG
rnacentral:rRNA from 1 species